AAGAACUCAAUUUCCAAUGAAAGUAAUUUCACAUAAGUUCAGAGCACAAAUUAAAAGCAGCCCCAAUCCUACAUACAGAGAGUCAGCUCCACCUUCUUUCCUGAUCCACCGCUAGAAUUCUGACAGAGAUGCUACAAACCAACGGUCAAGAUCUGUCCACAAUCCUAGCCUAGUAAUAGACAAAUUCCCACACCGAGUACCUACGAUGAGUGAGAUGUGUUUAUAACGCAACGCGAAGCAGAAUACAGCGUCCCUUCGGGGACAUCCGAUAAAAUUGGAACGAUACAGAGAAGAUUAGCAUGGCCCCAUUUCGCAGCAAUGUCCACUCUCUCCGAUCAAGCUGCGUUUAUUAUGGAUUCCGCUGCGUUUGUUGUGCUCGUGCGCGGAGGUAAAGCUGGGACUUUUCUCUUCUUUUGGGAUUCCCGGCAUGUCCUAUGGAAACUAGCGUUUCUUUUCUGUAAGGAUGGUUCCUUCUUUAGGAUUUUGGGCGGAGUCGUGAUUUUCAAAUUUCGAGUCCUGAUGGUUGAUAUUCUUUAAUAUUGAAGUUUGGAAUGUCUUUAACGUGGAAGUAGCUUUUGAGGGUGUGAAAAUCUUCUUUUCAUUUUUCAGUAGCGGUGUUCUUAACGAGGAUGCGCACACACCAUAUAUGUAGCUAGGGCAUCCAUCAUGUGGAACUCGGGGAUUGCCUUUAGACUGGCUUAAAACUUCAUCGGAUAAAUUUCAGCCAUUUUUUGUGUUGUUCUCCUUUUUCAAGCUUCGGUGCUAAAUAAUCACAAGCCUAUCAUAAUUUUCAUUCAAAACGAGGAUAGUUUGAGGAAAAAUAAGACCAAAUUUCAGUUUUGGCCUUAACCCAGAGAAAGAGCGAGGAAUGACAUUCUCACUCUCCGCAAAACACAUGAUCACCUCUUUGUCUCUAAUUAAAGCUCAUUAAACUGGUGGGAGUUGCACUUGAAUCUGCCUUGAAUGUCAUAGAGUGAUUAUAGGAGGAACCAUCGCCGUAGCUUGUCAUUGUAAAGUUCCGAAUGAUCUCUCCUGCUCGGGCUCAAGGCCCAAACCAUGAAAUUACCCACACACGAGGCAUUAGUGUCCUCCCCCAUUGCAAAUUCCAGAGAAUGGGUUGAACCCUUUGUGAGCAUUGGUCUGGUUAGGAUUCCAGAUGGACCUGCUGAGUUGAUCUCAAUUGCUGCCCUGGCUUUGGGAACCAAGUCGUGUGCGAAGUAGAUGCAUUUCACGACCAUUGCUGGAGUGGUUAUUGAGCUCCAGUUUGAUGGUCUCUUUUCUGCUUUAGAUGGUUAAUGAGCGCUUCUUAAUCUCAACCAAGAAAGUAGCAGGCAUGGCUCUCCCACGGUUCAUUCCCACAUCUUUGAAAGGGAAAACCCAUCCUUCAGAAAUCAAGUCAAGACGCUUACAGCAGUAACAUCAUUGGAAUAGUCUUCGCUCCCAGGAACACGGAUGAGUGUAAGUCUAUAGUCCAAGUACGUCCUGUAGUUGCCACCCGACCCAACUGCAACGCAUGCCAUAUCCUGGCGAUGAGGUCUGAGGACCUUAAAUUUAAAUGCCAAACUGUGCCAUUAAAUGACCAACUGGGAAUGCGUUGUAGUGGUGUUUGUAGACUUUCUAGCCAUGUUAGUCGAAGGAGAUUCCAAGUCGGAUUCUGGACUAUAUUUGAGAAGGAAAAUUUGUGAUUAGCAGUAAAGUUUUUAAACGAGAUGGAAAUUACUUGUGGAGUCUGAAGAACUGCUUACCCGCAGAUGACAUUGAAGCGAAGUGGAAUCACAGGAGAAGAACUGCAAGAGCCAUGGAAAGGGAGAGUGCUCCAUUUGAUUGCAGAGUCGCUUUGCACACGAUUCUGUACAUACGAACAUUGCUUGAAUGCAAAGUUGCAAAAUAGCUUGGUUUACUAUUUCCCAGUUGCGAUUCUAAAACCCAAUGAGAUAGUCUUGGUUUUGGUGUGUUUGAAUUUGGAAUGCAUUGUUGCUUUGCACAGUUUUUUACAUAUGACCAUCGCAUUGAUGUAAAGGAGCGAGAUACUUGGCUUGAUUUUACUAUUGCCAA